GGGGUGCAGCAGGCGCGAAACCUCCGCAAUGUGAGAAAUCGCGACGGGGGGAUCCCAAGUGCCAUUCUUAACGGGAUGGCUUUUCAUUAGUGUAAAGAGCUUUUGGAAUAAGAGCUGGGCAAGACCGGUGCCAGCCGCCGCGGUAACACCGGCAGCUCUAGUGGUAACAAUUUUUAUUGGGCCUAAAGCGUCCGUAGCCGGUUUAAUAAGUCUCUGGUGAAAUCCUGUAGCUUAACUGUGGGAAUUGCUGGAGGUACUAUUAGACUUGAGACCGGGAGAGGUUAGAGGUACUCCCAGGGUAGAGGUGAAAUUCUGUAAUCCUGGGAGAACCGCCUGUUGCGAAGGCGUCUAACUGGAACGGUUCUGACGGUAAGGGACGAAAGUUAGGGGCGCGAACCGGAUUAGAUACCCGGGUAGUCCUAACUGUAAACGAUGCGGACUUGGUGUUGGGGUGGCUUUGAGCUGCUCCAGUGCCGAAGGGAAGCUGUUAAGUCCGCCGCCUGGGAAGUACGGUCGCAAGACUGAAACUUAA
rnacentral:rRNA from 1 species